CACAAUGGUUCCCAGCGUUACUCAUGGAAUGAUCAGCACAAAGCAGUGUUAAAUACAGAAAUACAAAUUCGGAACACAGUUGCAGUGACAUCCGGACAAUUGGCUGAUUUUUCAACUUGUGGAUCCUGGACAAACACCAGUGGGUGGAGUCUCUUCCUUCUUGUUGGCUAUCCUAAACCUCUGUGUUGUGUAGU